UACGUAGGUGACCAGCGUUGUCCGGAUUUACUGGGCGUAAAGAGCGCGCAGGCGGUCGUUCAAGUCGAGUGUGAAAGCCCCCGGCUCAACUGGGGAGGGUCACUUGAUACUGAUCGACUCGAAGGCAGGAGAGGGAAGCGGAAUUCCCGGUGUAGUGGUGAAAUGCGUAGAGAUUGGGAAGAACAUCAGUGGCGAAAGCGCUCUACUGGACCUUAUCUGACAUUGAGGGACGAAAGCUAGGGGAGCGAAUGGG
rnacentral:rRNA from 1 species